rnacentral:rRNA from 1 species
CUGCCUGAUGGAGGGGGAUAACUACUGGAAACGGUAACUAAUACCGCAUAACGUCUACGGACCAGAGUGGGGGACCUUCUGGCCUCAUGCCAUCACAUGUGCCCAAAUGGGAUUAUCUAGUAGGUGGGGUAACGGCUCACCUAGGCGACGAUCCCUACCUGGUCUGAGAGGAUGACCAGCCACACUGGAACUGAGACACGGUCCAUACUCCUACGGGAGGCAGCAAUGGGGAAUAUUGGACAAUGGGCGCAAGCCUGAUGCACCCAUGCCGCGUGUAUGAACAACGCCUUCGGGUUGUAAAGUACUUUCAGCGGGGAGGAAGGCGUUGAGGUUAAUAACCUUUGCCAUUGACGUUACCCGCAGAACAAGCACCGGCUAACUCCGUGCCAGCAGCCGCGGUAAUACGGAGGGUGCAAGCGUUAAUCGGAAUUACUGGGCGUAAAGCACGCGCUUGCGGUUGAUUAAAUUAAAUGUGAAAUCCCCGGGCUCAACCUGGGAACUGCAUUUGAAACUGGUCAGCUUGAGUCUCGUAGAGGGGG